rnacentral:rRNA from 1 species
GACGAACGCUGGCGGCGUGCUUAACACAUGCAAGUCGAACGGAAAGGCCCUGCUUUUGUGGGGUGCUCGAGUGGCGAACGGGUGAGUAACACGUGAGUAACCUGCCCUUGACUUUGGGAUAACUUCAGGAAACUGGGGCUAAUACCGGAUAGGAGCUCCUGCUGCAUGGUGGGGGUUGGAAAGUUUCGGCGGUUGGGGAUGGACUCGCGGCUUAUCAGCUUGUUGGUGGGGUAGUGGCUUACCAAGGCUUUGACGGGUAGCCGGCCUGAGAGGGUGACCGGCCACAUUGGGACUGAGAUACGGCCCAGACUCCUACGGGAGGCAGCGGUGGGGAAUAGUGCACAAUGGGCGGAAGCCUGAUGCAGCAACGCCGCGUGCGGGAUGACGGCCUUCGGGUUGUAUACCGCUUUCGCCUGUGACGAAGCGUGAGUGACGGUAAUGGGUAAAGAAGCACCGGCUAACUACGUG